AGAGAACCUAAUCAGACUUCCGAGAAAAUCCGCUAAGCAUAUUUUUAUGGUACCCGUACCGCAAACCGACACAGGUAGUCAAGGAGAGAAUCCUAGGUGCUCGAGUGAAUCAUGGCUAAGGAACUCGGCAAAAUUACCCUGUAACUUCGGGAGAAGGGGUGCCUCGCUGUAGCAAUACAGCAGGUCGCAGAGAAAUGGCCCAGGCGACUGUUUAACAAAAACACAUGGCUUUGCGAAAUCGUAAGAUGAAGUAUAAGGCCUGACACCUGCCCGGUGCUGGAAGGUUAAGGGGGGAUGUUAGUGGGGUAACCUGCGAAGCAUUGAACUGAAGCCCCAGUAAACGGCGGCCGUAACUAUAACGGUCCUAAGGUAGCGAAAUUCCUUGUCGGGUAAGUUCCGACCUGCACGAAUGGUGUAACGAUCUGGGCGCUGUCUCGGCCAUGAGCUCGGUGAAAUUGUAGUCACGGUGAAGAUGCCGUGUACCCGUCACGGGACGGAAAGACCCCAUGCACCUUUACUAUAGCUUCACAUUGACAUUGGGAAAAUGAUGGUAGGAUAGGCGGGAGGCUUUGAUCCGUGGCCGCUAGGUUACGGGGAGUCAACGGUGAAAUACCGCCCUUUAUUUUCUUGAUGUCUAACCAGGAUUUAUUCUGGGACAUUGUGUGGUGGGUAGUUUGACUGGGGUGGUCGCCUCCGAAAGUGUAUCGGAGGCUUUCAAAGGUAUGCUCAGUACGCUUGGUAACCGUACGUGGAGUGCAAUAGCAUAAGCAUGCUUGACUGUGAGACUGACAAGUCGAGCAGGGACGAAAGUUGGAUAUAGUGAUCCGGUGGUUCUGCAUGGAAGGGCCAUCGCUCAAAGGAUAAAAGGUACGCUGGAUAACAGGCUGAUCUCCCCCAAGAGCUCAUAUCGACGGGGAGGUUUGGCACCUCGAUGUCGGCUCGUCACAUCCUGGGGCUGGAGAAGGUCCCAAGGGUUGGGCUGUUCGCCCAUUAAAGUGGCACGCGAGCUGGGUUCAGAACGUCGAGAGACAGUUCGGUCCCUAUCUGUGAUGGGCGUAGGAAGUUUGAGAGGAUCUGACCUUAGUACGAGAGGACCGGGUUGGACUAACCGCUGGUGUACCGGUUGUCGUGUCAGCGGCACUGCCGGGUAGCUAUGUUGGGACGGAAUAAGCGCUGAAAGCAUCUAAGCGCGAAAUCCACCUCGAGAUGAGACUUCCAUAUAGGGUCGUCAGAGACUAUGACGUUGAUAGGCUGCAGGUGUAAAGUCAGAAAUGGCAAAGCUGAGCAGUACUAAUUGCUCA
rnacentral:rRNA from 1 species